AAUCGUCAAAUAUCACUGCAGUCUGCAUUGAACAAAAUUUUAUUUACAGAAAAGUCGCGGCCAAAAUCAAGAAAGGUCAGCGGUAAUUUCACGCAAGUAAUCUGUAUAAUUGAAAUCGGAUACGUAGAGAAUCGGAGAAAUUGGAAAGGCCUGAGCAAGAAAUCGAUCGAUAUUGGCAGAUGUCGUCGAAGAAAACAAUGAUGAGUCGUGGGGGUUCCAGAAGAAACGACGAGUCCUUCGUAACUCGGAUGGUCAACUCAGUUUUCUCCUUUGUUCGUUUAGCUGAGUUCGAGAUUCUCUUUGUUCUCUUCUUCCUCAUCGCUUUUCUCCUCUUCAAAGAUCUGACUGCGAGGCCAGAAUACAACCAGAUUCUUGUAAAGAAGCCUGGAGCAGCUGAGUGGUGGAACUAUUAGGAUGUAUGCAUAUAUAGUCCAUAACUCCAUAUAAACAUGUUUUUUUUUAACAGGAUUAAAAUUAUAUUGUAAUGAUUUGUUUGGGUC